rnacentral:lncRNA from 1 species
AAGUGCCUUGCAUGCUUAUGUUACUAUUCAUUCUGAGAUAGACAGAUCAUCAAUGACCUUCUGGGUCACUGACUAGGGAGAAAGCCGACUUUAAAAAAAAGAGUGGGAGAAAAAUAAGAGGGGGGGUUGCUUCCUUCCACCCUAGACCCCCUACUGCCUUGAAUGAAAGAAAACAGAUGGCAGCCACCUUCCCCUUUAAUUAGGAGGGGCAGCUCAGAAGGGGACAGCCCUGCUCACUUGGCACCAUCUUUAACAAACCGUUUCGAUGGUAAUGCUCUCUGCUCACUCGCCCUUGUUUCAAACUGUUCUCAAUCUCUGAUUUGCAAACCGAAUCUCUGUCAAUUUAAUUGUGAAAAACUACAGGUCUGCGCACAACGCCAUACAAAAAGAAGGUGCUUAAAGAUGUUUGCUGAAUUAAUAAUUCACAGACCUUCAGAGAGGGAGCCCGGAGUGUUUCAAACGAAGUGCAGCCACCUCAAGUUCCAUCAUCACCACUCUGAGAUAAAGCGUGCGUUCCCACGGCACAGAAGCCCUGGCUUAAAUUCACACGGUAUUCCAUACUGGAUUCAGAAGAUCCCUGACUUCUGCUUUCCAAACGCCACACUACAGCCAUGCUGUCCCCUUCUACCUUCAAAGUGUCACUGCUGAAAGCUGAGAAAACGCUACUGUAAACGCAGUCCCUUUUACUGCAGAAAGGUUAGUUUAAUUACAAAUUACAAACCAUUCUGCAUUUCCACUUGUUUUGCAUUUUCCAAACCACAGAACCUUGUAUUCAAAAUUUAUCAAGCCGCAUAACAUCUCUGGAGACAGGAUCAGCAUGAAAAACAAAACAAAACAAAAGUGGAAGACAAGAACCAAGUGUCAGAAGCAGGCUGAUGUCACAGACAAGUCUUCUGUGUAGGUGAUAAAGCCUCUUCCUAAUUUUGUUAAGUUAUUAAAUGUAUUUUCUAUAAAUCUGCAAGGGAGGAAACUUUCUAACCUGAAAGAAAAAAAAGUUCAGUUCCUGUUGAUGAGGUUAGGUCUUUAUCUAUUUUAACCCAUUUUUUAUAUUAAAUUUUUUCCCCAACAUCAUUAAAUAACUUGUAUUCUUUGGGUCCUUCCCAUUUCCUGACAGGUUUUAAAAUUACAGCCUCUUGUCCAAGAGCCAUUCCCAUCUAGUGCCUGCAGUUUCCACGUGGAGACUCCCCGUCUCCAUACCUGUCGUGUGCCCUUCCUGCUUCCAGUGGAAAUGAGGGCAAGUGAAGCGGGGCUAUUCUGCUAGAUGCGCUCCUGGCCGCACCACAUAAACAGCCUUGUCUGUGUCACUGUCAUUUAAUUAAUGCUAAGUUCUUGAACCAUUUAAAAAGAGGGGGGAGAAAAAGAGAACUUUUUUGUUUUCUCAUUGAUAAUAAAUUUCAGUCUCUUACUAUCUCUAACAAGCCAGCCACAAGAAAAAACAUGUAGGAGAGACUGACUAACAAAGAAAUAAACAACACUUACUUUGUUUUCCAGCACAGUAAGCUGGUCGCGAGCGAGAUGAGGGUAAAACUCCUUUCCUCAAGGCCCCUGCUUUCGCUUUGGAAGCUGUGUUUACACUCGGGUCCAGGUUUGCUGCAGGACUCCUAAAUGCCUGCGCCUCUCGGAUGCCCCAAGUUCACAGUUCAUCUCAGAGGCUUCAUCGAGGACAAGGAAUCCCCAGUUCAGACCCAGGCAACCUCUGGGCGCCACGUGGCACCACUGCUGUUGUUACCACACGCACGCCUGGGACACCCACUUGUUACCUCAGGAACCAGGCCACCAGCAGAUAACCACUCAGACGAGUGUCCAGAGACGCGAGCCUCUGGCAUUCUCAGGUUCAAGGUUGGAAAAUGCAUAAAGACAGGAACCACACAGUCAGCAGUAUUCUGUGCCAUUAACUUUCUUGCACUUAAAUUUAGCCUUAAGAAAGAGCGGAGGGCACAAAAUUAAAAGAGGUAUUUUACUGGUGACCGGCAUUUGUCCUGUCUCGCUAGAAUCAAUUUAAAAAAAAAAAAAAAGGAAAAAAGUAUAAUUUUGCUUAAAAAUGUAACCCCUUACUAAAUCUCAUCGGGUUCAUUUUUUAAAACCCAAAUUUGAUGUUUGUUUUGAAAACUUACUUCAUCCAUGUACUGUUCAGCUCAUAAAAACAAACCUUCUUCCAGCAAAAUGGGACACUUUGACCUUGUUUACCGCAGUAUUUUGAAACCUCUGUCUCGUAACUCCUGACAUCACUGGACGUGUAUUAGCACCUUCACUGCUGUUGGCUGCACACGCUGCUACCCCGACCUUCUUGAAUCGCCCCUGGUUGAACAAAUACUUCACACGACAGUAGGGAUACUGGUGUUAGCAUUAAACCCACAGAACUCACGUGGUCCCUUUUAUAAGUGCCACAUCUCUCUGAUCACUUUUCUAAGAAAACAAAAGCACUGAACAUCUGAUACUUUUUUAAGUCCCUGCAUCCAGACCUCAUACAGACUAUUUUUUCUUCAGACCCUCUCCCUGCCCAAGAGAAGGGCUUCCUUUCUCACCAAUCGCCAUACUGGCAAGAAUUUCUGCCACAGAGCUUUUCUAAUAGAAGAUCUUGACCUACUUUCCCCCAAUAAAAAAUUCCCACAAACUUCCCUAGAGGAUAAUUUAUGUUGGCAUAUUUUAGAAUUUCAGAAAGCAUUGUUGCACUUUUAAUUUUGAUAAAGUCAAGAUUUACUCAUUUCUUUUUCUCUUGUGGAAAUGAUUUUGAUAUUGUAUCUGAGUGUUACAUUUUUAAAGAAAUAAUUUUCCCCUGGCAGUCUGACACAUUUCCCUUCUCUAUUCCUCAAUUCUUAUUCUUGAUGUAGAAGAAUUAAAAAAAAAAAAAAGAGAGAGAGAGAGAAUACUUGUAACAUAAUUUAACUGUGUAAGUCACCAUUAAAUUUGAGAGAACAUUUCCUAUAAUCCAACUCUUUAAAUAAAACCAAAUUCUGGUCUUACAGUGGUGGUGCAAUUUUACAGAGAAGUAAUUAAAAACUCAAGUUUAACUUAUCUGAAACCAACUGAUAACAUUCUUGUUUCUCUCCUGAAACAACCUGCAAAACAACAAGUCCUCGAACUACAGUCACCAAGAAAUAAAGAACACGAAAUACAUAUUUGAGCAAUUAUGGCCUUUGUUUGUCAGAGAAGAAUAAAAAGAAAAAACAUCCAGAGUUAAUAAAAUUAAUUAACUCGAGCUAAAGAACUACUAAAAGGACCCUCCGAAUAUCAUGCUGUUACUAUGACAACUUCAAAACUGCUUCAAGCAAAUAUGAGGGAUUUUAAGAUUCAUGAUAAAACAAGUGUCAUCCAGCCUGUGAAAAAUUACUUUCAUUUCCA